GAUGAACGCUAGCGAUAGGCUUAACACAUGCAAGUCGAGGGGCAGCACGAGGUAGCUUGCUAAGACUGAUGGCGACCGGCGCACGGGUGCGUAACGCGUAUGCAACUUGCCUCACAGAGGGGGAUAACCCGUCGAAAGACGGACUAAUACCGCGUACACUCUAUGUUGGGCAUCCAAUGUAGAGGAAAUGAAAUUCGCUGUGAGAUAGGCAUGCGUCCCAUUAGCUAGUUGGUGAGGUAACGGCUCACCAAGGCGACGAUGGGUAGGGGAACUGAGAGGUUGAACCCCCACACUGGUACUGAGACACGGACCAGACUCCUACGGGAGGCAGCAGUGAGGAAUCUUCAGCAAUGGACGGAAGUCUGACCGAACACCGCCGCGUGAGUGAAGAACGUUUGCUGAUCGUAAGGCUCUGUUUUUCGAGAAAAACGAGUGUGACAGUGGUCAGUCCACGCUGUGACCGUCUCUUACCAGAAAGGGACGGCUUACUACCUGCCAGCAGCCGCUGUAAUACAUAUGUCCCGAGCGUCGUCCGGAUUUAUUGGGCGUACAGCGCGCGUAGCGGUUUUUUAGUCUGAUGUGAAAGCCCACGGCUCAACCGUGGAGGGUCAUUGGAAACUGGAAAACUUGAGUGCAGAAGAGGAAAGUGGAAUUCCAUGUGUAGCGGUGAAAUGCGCAGAGAUAUGGAGGAACACCAGUGGCGAAGGCGACUUUCUGGUCUGUAACUGACGCUGAUGUGCGAAAGCGUGGGGAUCAAACAGGAUUAGAUACCCUGGUAGUCCACGCCGUAAACGAUGAGUGCUAAGUGUUAGGGGGUUUCCGCCCCUUAGUGCUGCAGCUAACGCAUUAAGCACUCCGCCUGGGGAGUACGACCGCAAGGUUGAAACUCAAAGGAAUUGACGGGGACCCGCACAAGCGGUGGAGCAUGUGGUUUAAUUCGAAGCAACGCGAAGAACCUUACCAAAUCUUGACAUCCUUUGACAACUCUAGAGAUAGAGCCUUCCUCUUCGGGGGACAAAGUGACAGGUGGUGCAUGGUUGUCGUCAGCUCGUGUCGUGAGAUGUUGGGUUAAGUCCCGCAACGAGCGCAACCCUUAAGCUUAGUUGCCAUCAUUAAGUUGGGCACUCUAAGUUGACUGCCGGUGACAAACCGGAGGAAGGUGGGGAUGACGUCAAAUCAUCAUGCCCCUUAUGAUUUGGGCUACACACGUGCUACAAUGGACAAUACAAAGGGCAGCGAAACCGCGAGGUCAAGCAAAUCCCAUAAAGUUGUUCUCAGUUCGGAUUGUAGUCUGCAACUCGACUACAUGAAGCUGGAAUCGCUAGUAAUCGUAGAUCAGCAUGCUACGGUGAAUACGUUCCCGGGNUC
rnacentral:rRNA from 1 species